GACAGAGGCCUCAAGCGUUAGGCGGAAUCACUGGGCUUAAAGCGUGUGUAGGCGGACUUCUAAGUGCCUUGUGAAAUCCCACGGCUCAACCGUGGAACUGCUGGGCAUACUGGGGAGUCUUGGGGCCAUUCAGGGGCAACUGGAACAAGCGGUGGAGCGGUGAAAUGACGUAGAUACAAUCAAGAACUCCGAUUGCGUAGGCAGCUAACUAGGCUGUAACUGACGCUGAGGCACGGAAAGCAUGG
rnacentral:rRNA from 1 species